UGCCUACGGGGCGCAGCAGUCGGGAAUAUUGCGCAAUGGAGGAAACUCUGACGCAGUGACGCCGCGUAUAGGAAGAAGGUUUUCGGAUUGUAAACUAUUGUCGUUAGGGAAGAUAAAAGACUGUACCUAAGGAGGAAGCCCCGGCUAAAUACGUGCCAGCAGCCGCGGUAAUACGUAUGGAGCAAGCGUUAUCCGGAUUUACUGGGUGUAAAGGGAGCGCAGACGGCAGGGCAAGUCUGAUGUGAAAGUCCGGGGCUCAACCCCGGGACUGCAUUGGAAACUGUCCGGCUAGAGUGCAGGAGAGG
rnacentral:rRNA from 1 species